GAUGAACGCUGGCGGCGUGCCUAAUACAUGCAAGUCGAGCGAACAGACGAGGAGCUUGCUCCUCUGACGUUAGCGGCGGACGGGUGAGUAACACGUGGAUAACCUACCUAUAAGACUGGGAUAACUUCGGGAAACCGGAGCUAAUACCGGAUAAUAUAUUGAACCGCAUGGUUCAAUAGUGAAAGACGGUUUUGCUGUCACUUAUAGAUGGAUCCGCGCCGCAUUAGCUAGUUGGUAAGGUAACGGCUUACUAAGGCAACGAUGCGUAGCCGACCUGAGAGGGUGAUCGGCCACACUGGAACUGAGACACGGUCCAGACUCCUACGGGAGGCAGCAGUAGGGAAUCUGCCGCAAUGGGCGAAAGCUUGACGGAGCAACGCCGCGUGAGUGAUGAAGGUCUUCGGAUCGUAAAACUCUGUUAUUAGGGAAGAACAAAUGUGUAAGUAACUAUGCACGUCUUGACGGUACCUAAUCAGAAAGCCACGGCUAACUACGUG
rnacentral:rRNA from 1 species